rnacentral:lncRNA from 1 species
CCAAGCCCUUAGCACGAAGAGACGAUCUCUGCUUCUACAGCCGGCGACUCUCUCCAAAGAUACGAUUGCCGACGGUUGGUUGGUGAUCGACGCCCCAACACCUCCCCCUUCCGCUCUCUCGAUCUCUUCCCUCCUCCCUUUCCCGCUGUGCUUUCCCCACUUCCCUUCUAUCAUCUCCCUUUCCGAACAACUGACGCUACUCCUUUCACCGGCAACACAACCCCUUUCUUCUUAUCCUUUUCCUGUCUUUCUCAGGCAGUCCCUCCCUCCUUCCCUUCCUCAGCCGCCACCGCUUCAUAGCUUUACUAACUUGUACUUUGAAUGGAUUACGUUGCAUUUCAUCCUUUAUUUAUGUGCAUAUAGCGUUCGAGUGUUCUAUGUUUGCCAACAACUUUGUAUGGACUCUGUUGCCAAUAGCUUGGUGGUGGAUAGCUUGACCGUCAAUAAGCAGAUUCGGGUCAAGAACAGUAGCUGUAAGUUUAAAGCAUUGAUUCCUUUCUGCUCCAUCUCUUCUUCUUGCUUGUUUCAUCUUAGAUCAGAUUGGUUGGACUUCAGAGUAGACAUGUGUACGGGUGAUAGAAUGUUUAUGAGUGAUAGAAUGUUUACAAUCUUGAUGCAAUUUAAACUUCUCUAACUGAUGGGAGAACUGAUAUUGUUGUUCUAGAAAACACUUAUGUUAGAUUUAAUAAUAUGUUCAUUAGAUCUUAAUGUCACUUUGAAUGGCAUGUGAGAGUAUUGAUACUACUUGUUUCGAGUGUCUUAGAUGUUAAUUAUACUAGACCAUGCUUGAUGUUGACUAAUGUUGCAUUAGAUGUUAAUACAAUAUCAUUACGCUUGUCUUUCUCUCUGAUAUUUACUUCUCCAUUGGUAAUUCGGUGUUCUUGUAAAAUGAUUUUUAUGUUGUGUUGUGACUCUUAUGCCCCCUCAUGCUGAAUUGUUUGAUGUCACUGCCAUUGCUCCAUAAAUUUUGUGCACUUUUAAUGCAUGAUACUGUUUUCUAUAUUUCUAACCUAGUAAGAAGUAUUAAUCCUUGUUCUCAACAUCAACAGAAAUUAAGUUGGACUGAAUUUUUGUUUUCUAGAUCUUUAGCAUCGAAAGAUAAGUAAUUAGUGCACUGUAUAUCUUCUUGUACACGUUAACAUCUUGUAUAUGUUAUGAGGUCUCAUUCAUCCUCUUCUGCAAGUUGACCGAUUAAUGCACUGUAUAUCUUUCUUUGUUCUAUUUUUUUGUAUAUUUUAAUGGUUCUUGUUGAACAUAGCCUGACAUUUUUCUCAAACCACCCGCCAUUUUAUAGUUUAAUGCACUGUAUAUCAAUUAAAUGUUAUUAUAAUUAACAUAGGAUUGCUUGAUCCUAAGGUCGAGUUGAAAAAGUAUAAAAAAAAUCCUAAUUGUCUUACUCUUGCCUUUGCCAUCAAUGGAAUACCUUGGAGAAGCGAUCAAUCCUGCUGUUACUAGAUCUCAUUCUCUUCAUUUUGGAGAAAGCAAUGAGCCAUCUUGCUGUUGAUGAGAUUCCUGUAAUGGCUUUGUUUCACAAGUUCUGAACGGUGGAUUACAGAUAAGAGGUAGGAUCAAGAUCCCCUUAAUGGCUUUGUUUCAUGAGUCAAGCGUGGAUUACCGAGAAGAGGUAGGAUCAAGUGAGCAAGUUUAUUGAGCAGAAUAUGAUGUCUUGCCUUUUUAUUAAUAUGUUUUGUUCACUGGUUAAUUAUUUUCUUGGAUCGUUAUAAUUCUCUGCAUGUGGUUUCUUUCUUAUUUAAAAUCAUGAUUUAGGGUUGCUUCUGAAGCAAAAUUGUCUAUGAAUCUCUUUGGUAUUCCACUAGAAACUUCUAUAUAUCAAUGGACAGAUACAAGCACACCUGAAUGCAAUCAUAUGGUUGAUGCAAAUUGAUGUUCUCUUUUCUCUUCAAAUUAUUGUUACUAUAUAUAAGGAGUUUUAAUUGUCGGAUGAAGUUUGGAUCAAAUGGCUGGAAUUUGAUGAUGCUUCUCCCGUUAAACACUUGUUUUAUUUGUGUAAAGCCAUGAUCGUCCAUUGCUCUUUGUUGGAGAGCUUUAAGAGCCUAGAAUCUGGACAACCUAUUGGAACAAGAGUACAUUGUUACUAAC